rnacentral:snRNA from 1 species
GUGCUUGCCUCGGCAGCACGUAUACUAAAAUUGGAACAAUAGAGAGAAGAUUAGCAUGGCCCUUGUGCAAGGAUGACACGCAAAUUUGUGAAGUGUUCCAUAUUUUC